UCGUACACCUGCUGCGGGCAGAUGUAGUGCACGUGCGCGUCCACCGCGCCCGCGGUGAGGAUCAGUUUCUCGCCCGCGAUGACCUCCGUGGAGGAUCCGAUGGUCAGUGCGGGGUGCACGUGCGCCAUCACGUCGGGGUUCCCGGCUUUUCCGAUGCCCGUGAUGACUCCGUCUUUGACGCCGAUGUCUGCCUGUAGUAGUGACGAUAAGUGAGGCCACGAUGGAUACACUAAAGGUAUACCUUGUAUAUGCCAGACCAGUCUACGAUGAGGGCGUUGGUGAUCACUAGGUCGAGACACUCCGAUGCAGGGCGGUUGGUCGCCUGUCCCAUACCCUCACGA
rnacentral:sRNA from 1 species